UUAAAAAGAAGUAACAUUAAAAAAAAUCAUCAUGUUAUAUCUAAUAUAUAUUUAAAAACAUGGGAAACAUACACAUAAGGGAAGAAGCACAGUGAUAAAAUGGAGACCCUCAAUCCCACUACCUAAAUUAAGAACUAGAUAGUACAAGUAUGAAUAUUAAAUUUACCCUUUUCUUUCUUUUUAAAAUUCCUAAAGUGGAGCUCUUAAUUCUGUCAAAACACAUACAUAGACUAAUAGACUAUAAGUAAACCAUAAACCAGCAUCCUUGAUAGGUGGAUAUCCAGUCUUUAAUUACAUACUUCCCAUGACAGGAUAUUCACUACCUCAUAAUGCAAGUUACUCUGUCAUUGAGCAGCCCCCUUUUAGAAGAGUCUUCCUUAUAUUGAACUGAAAUCUGCAUCCUGUAACUUCCAUCCAUUUUAAAAGGUAGAAUUUUAGUUUUCCUUCAAGUAAAAGGGAGUAGGCAGUCCAGAGCUGGUACUUUUCUGCUCUGCUAUUUUUAGUGCACGGUUUCAUGGUUCAAGAUGGCCACUGAGUUCAAACCACCAUCAGAGUUCCAGACAGAAAACCCAAAAAGGGAGAGAGGGUGCAUGCCAACAACCUUUCUUCCUUUUAAGAAGAUUUUCUGUAAAUCGUAGUCAACAAUGCUCGCUUACCUGUCAUUGGACAGAGCUAAGUCACGGGGCCAUCCUUGGCUAUAAGGCAAACUGGGAAAUGUAGUCUUUUAGCUAGAACAUUACCAUCCUAAAUAAAAGUAGGUUUCUGACACCAAGAAAGAAGAGAAGAAUGGAUAUAAGACAGACAGGCAACUUGCAGUCCCCACUACACGAGUGAAUCAAGCAGUAAGCAGUGCAGAGUGUAUAGACAUAGUAUAGAGUCAGUGUUCUCCAGAGAAACAGAACCAAUAGGAUUCAUUUUAAGGAAUUGGCCCAUUUGACUGUGGAAGAGGACAAGUCUGAAAUCUGCACGGAGGCCCAGCUGGAGAUCCAGGGAGGAGCUGAUGUUGCAGCUUGAGUCCAAAGACAGUCUGCUGGCAGAAUCCUUUUUUCUUGGGGGACCUCAGUCUCUUCUCCUAAGGCUUCAUCUAAUUGGAUGAGACCCACCCACAUUAUGGAGGCUAGUCUGCUUUACUCAAAGUCUACUGGGUUAAAUGUUAAUCGCAUCUAAAAAAUGCCUUGACAGCAACCUCUAGACUGGUGUUUGACUGAGUGCCAUGACCCAGCGAGAUUGAUACACAAAGUCAGCCAUUACACAUGGUCACAGAUACAAGCAGAUGUGGCUGCUCUGUUUCUAAUGGACUGAAGUGGAUGUGAAGUUCAGUGGAUUCGCCAGCCCUGGAGGAACUUGCAAGGUUGCAUUUUCCAAAGAUGGUUGUGACGACAUCCCUCAUCCCACAUGCUCGUCUGCAGUGCUACCGUCAAGAGGCAGAAGCUUCCGUCCCUGCCCUUGAAUGUAACCGGCCACAGUGACAUGCUUGCAUCCAAUAAUGUGGCAUGGAGGGUGACUUCCGAGGUUAGGCCAGGAAGGCCAUGCAGCUUCCUCCAGGUUUUCUCACAAGAGUUGCUUUCUGGACAUCCCUCCUGAGGUGCUGUAUCUCAGAGCUGGUCGCCAUGCUGUGGGAAACCCAAGUCACAUGGAAAGGCCACACACGUGUGCUCCUGUUGACAGUGCCAGUGGAGGCUGGCCUUUGAGUCAUUUCAGCCUUGGUACCAGACAUGUACUGGAGAAAGAUGCCCAUUCCUCUGGGACAGUGCAAUCCUGCCCCACAGCACACAGCCUCGCAGGCGAAGUGCAGGCUCCUUUCAUCCCCCUCCUGAACCUGGUCAGAUAUCUUCGGCAGCUUACAAACUGCACAGUUGUACACAGCGGCCCUGGAGAAGUGUAAAAUUUUAGGGAGAAGGAAAGUCUGAUUUGAGACAGUCUCUUUUACUAUGUCAAAGAAAUCCUGGUCAAAGGACUCUUUCAUGAACAAAGAGGAUUCACGAUGUUUGUCUUGCCACUUACCCUGAAAUUUUUAUCACAGGUAAAUGAACUGAAGAUUUUCUAUGACUUAUAUUCCUCACAGUCAACACGUUACGGCUUUUCAGAUUUCAUUUUCCUCACAACAGCCUUCUUCUGUGCAGGGAACACGUUUGCAAUCUGGCCUCUUCCACUUGACUAUGGAGAGUGGUCAGUCUUGACGUUUGCAAGCCUCUCACUGUUGUGGCCUCUCCCUUUGCGGAGCA